UACGGGGGGGGUAAGCGUUGUUCGGAAUUACUGGGCGUAAAGGGCUCGUAGGUGGCCAACUAAGUCAGACGUGAAAUCCCUCAGCUUAACUGGGGAACUGCGUCUGAUACUGGAUGGCUUGGAUUCGGGAGAGGAAUGCGGAAUUCCAGGUGUAGCGGUGAAAUGCGUAGAUAUCUGGAGGAAUACCGGUGGCGAAGGCGGCAUCCUGGACCAUAACUGACGCUGAGGCGCGAAAGCUAGGGGAGCAAACGGG
rnacentral:rRNA from 1 species